GGAAAUUCCUGCAAUUGCCAUCUGCCGUGAAAGUUGGAAUGUUAGGGUAACGAGUUGAAGACUUAAAGAUACCAACAAUAAGCUUAUGAGGAAAAAAGAAAAAAAAUCAGAUAAACGAGUGUUUAUGUUGCACUUGAAACAAGAAAGUCCCAACUUUCUAGUAAAACUCCAAGACACUCUUAUCAUCAAAGUAGCUAGCACUCAGUCCCAUAACAUCUUACCUUUAACCCCUUCAAAAAAUCAGUGAGGUAUCCAAAACAACACCCCAGAGAACACAACAAUCACGGGGGAAAAGUUUCCAUAAAGAAUGAGUGCGAACCAAAACACGUACAAAGUAGGAAGCAGUAAACAAAGCAUAAUUCAAAC
rnacentral:misc_RNA from 1 species